AGAGAGAGACAUGCGCGCAUAUCAAUAAGCGGAGGAAAAGAAACUAACAAGGAUUCCCUUAGUAACGGCGAGUGAAGCGGGAAGAGCUCAAAUUUGAAAUCUUCAAGGUUUUACCUUGACGAAUUGUAGUUUAAAGAAGUGUUUUCUGCUGAAGUUUUGGUAAAAGUUCUUUGGAAUAGGACAUCAUAGAGGGUGAGAAUCCCGUAUUUGACCAUUAUUUUCAGCUUUGUGAUACACUUUCAAAGAGUCGGAUUGUUUGGGAAUGCAGUCCAAAAUGGGUGGUAAAUUUCAUCUAAAGCUAAAUAUUGGCGAGAGACCGAUAGCGAACAAGUACCGUGAGGGAAAGAUGAAAAGAACUUUGAAAAGAGAGUUAAACAGUACGUGAAAUUGUCAAAAGGGAAGCGUUUGACACCAGUGUUGUUUUCUCGAAAAUCAAUUAAAAAUGGCUCGAUUUUGUAUUGCUGAGACCUUAAAAGCUCACCGUACAUUUUUCGUGUCUUUUUUAAUGCACUUUUCGUUUAACAAGUCAACAUCAGUUUCUUUUGUUGUAAAGGGUCAUUGGAAGGUGGCUUUCUUUUCGGAGAAAGUGUUUAUAGCCUUUGGCCUCUGCAAUCGAAGAGACUGAGGUCUGCAGCGUAGACUCUUCGGGGUUAGAUACAUUUGUGCUAAGUUAUAGCUUUUUAUAGACAACUUGUUGACUAUAAUUAGUCUUGUAGCUUACUCGCUUAUGCUAUUUUACCUACGCUUAGGAUGUUGAAGAUGUAGCACAUCAU
rnacentral:rRNA from 1 species